UUUAUAUCCUUAUCAGAUACUGGAUUCCUGCCCAAACUCUGUUGACUUGGACCAUAGCCAGAAGAAAGAGGAUAUCCGUCCAAAAGAGGAUACAUAUCCCAUCUGUUUAACUUAUAUUAGAUCCAACUCCUGAAGAUGACUGCUGCACUUCUUAUCUUGCUCUUCAUACACUUGGUUAUGACUUCAGCCUUAUUGCAACCAAUGAAUGACACUGCAGACAUGUGGACUAAUGAGCUCUGUAUAGACAAGGGAAUUUAUUUUGAACGCUCCUUUGUUCUGGAACGAGAAGGAGUUUUGUUGCAUUGCCCUAUGAACCUCUAUAUAGAAUGGAAUGAAUCCAUAAAUGUAAAAUAC